AUUGAACGCUGGCGGCAGGCCUAACACAUGCAAGUCGAACGGUAACAGGAAGCAGCUUGCUGCUUCACUGACGAGUGGCGGACGGGUGAGUAAUGUCUGGGAAAUUGCCUGAUGGAGGGGGAUAACUACUGGAAACGGUAGCUAAUACCGCAUAAUGUCGCAAGACCAAAGAGGGGGACCUUCGGGCCUCUUGCCAUCGGAUGUGCCCAGAUGGGAUUAGCUUGUUGGUGGGGUAACGGCUCACCAAGGCGACGAUCCCUAGCUGGUCUGAGAGGAUGACCAGCCACACUGGAACUGAGACACUGUCCAGACUCCUACGGGAGGCAGCAGUGGGGAAUAUUGCACAAUGGGCGCAAGCCUGAUGCAGCCAUGCCGCGUGUAUGAAGAAGGCCUUCGGGUUGUAAAGUACUUUCAGCGGGGAGGAAGGGAGUAAAGUUAAUACCUUUGCUCAUUGACGUUACCCGCAGAAGAAGCACCGGCUAACUCCGUGCCAGCAGCCGCGGUAA
rnacentral:rRNA from 1 species